GAGGACGCAGGCCUGAGUCAGAGCUGCGGCCCGCGAAGGGAGCCCGGCCUGAGGGCAGCGGCGGGCACUUGGGGGCCACCCCGCCCCGGGCAGCGACCGCCGGCUCUCGGCUCAGUCCGGCUCAUUCCUCCCGGCCGCCGCCUCGUGCUCCGGAGCUGGGGACCGGGGGGCGGGCAGGAGAGGCCUCGCUCGCCCAGGACCUGCUCGGGGACCCCGCCCGCCUUGGUGAUCGAUCGUCGAGUCCCUAUCACGGGCCUCCUUGGGGUGAGGAAACAGCUGGGGACUAAGGAAAACUCGAGAUCCCAGCAGGGCAGAUUCGCCCUCCACCCCAGGGCCGUGUCCCUGCCUGCAGCCUGUGCCUGGAUUCCAUUUCCAGGCCGACUGAGCUGAGAUUUGCCCUCCUAUCUCCUGGCUUGGCCGCCUCGCCAACAGACCCGGGCGUCUCGGCGUUUGGCUUGCUGUGCAUCAGCCAAGAGGAACCUGGUUGGGUACCAACUGCACAGGGACACUGCAGCUCGGGGCCGCUGACUCUGCGCCACCUGAACUAGUUCGUGGUUUUGGAAACAUCAGGGAGUGCGACCAGGGCUGUUAACUGAGCAGUUGACCGGCAUCUGUAAACUCGUCGAUCUGUGCUGAAAUCUGGUGAUGUAACCAUCUUCAAGAUUAGCGGGUAGGCCCCCUCGUCCAUGCUCCAUUUUAAGAUUGCGCACAGCAAGGCAGCUGCCUCGUUCUCAGAACUCUCCGGGCUUCUCCGCACGGGCUCUGGGCUCUGGGUCGGGCCUGCGGUGCCCUUGAGCCUGACCGCCCGGGGUCAGGGAGGCAGCAGAGGUCAGACGCGUCUCCUUCUCUGUUCCGCUCAUGGUCCCAGGCCCAGAGGGAAGCAGGAGGCCGCUGUACGCUGGCGGGGACAGUCCUCUGCUCGGUGUCAGGGGGACGAGGACCCGGGAGACGUGCAGUACGUCCGGUGUGAUGCUCCUGUCACGCCGAUGGGACGUGACACUGGGAAUGGAGCCGUGAGGCCCCCAACAGCCAGGGUGGCGCAGCCCGUCUGCAGAGACCCAUCUGCUUCCCUGAAGCCUCUGCACAUCCCCAGGAGAGCGGACCUUCCCUCUGUCCAGGACGCGAAUGGAGGCACGUUUCCCCUGCCCAGUGAUGGAAAGGAGUCCAGGAGCUGCGCAGGCUGCUUUCGGAUAAAUUGCUCUUGCAAAAGUCUGGAGGACACUGGGAAAGGGAAGAGACCGGAGGCCCGGAGGCAACUAGAAGCCUGUUCAGAUUUCCGGGAGGGACAGGAGUCCGCCGGCGGUGACGGUGACGGGGAUGUAGCAGCGUGAACGUCUGCGCAGCCGAGUGAACGAAGCAGGGUGUAAGAAGGAGGGCCGUAUUCUGAAUACUUUGCGAUCAAGAUUUUGUUCCAACUUAUGAAACUCUUCUGUACUUCUGGGAUUUUACAGAUUCUAAAUUAUUUCAUAUCAACACUCAUUCCACCUGUUGUACGUGAGGAGAAAAGGUCAGUUCUACAGAAAGCAGCUGGAAAACAAGGGUGUCUCUGAAGGGAGCGGGGGCCGCUCCAUCCGGCAGCUGACACAGCCAGACCCGUGCGCCGGGCUCCAGGCACCAGCGCAGGCCGCACGCUGAGGUGGUGUGCUUCGGGCGCCCAAGCCCUCGCCAACCCCUGCGACUCUGAGCCAUCCACCCGGGGCUCCAACCGUCCUGGGGCAGAGUGACUCAGGCUCCUUUCAGGCUACAGACGCAAGAAGAGGGGCCCUGAGAUGACACCCACCAAUCACCCAAAGCUGUGGUAAACAGCAGGACUCUGCAGAUGCCGAAGACCUCCAGAAACACCGCGCGCGAGGAGGACCGCCCGUGCAGAGGGGACGGGGGCCCGGCUCCCCGGAGGCCCUCGCUGUCGCCCACAGCUGUAGCACCUGUUGCGUCCGGGGGCCUCAUCUCACUUCCCUUCCAAGCGUACCUUGAAGAGCGGAGACACGCGUGCCCUCCUCAAGGACUCCUCCAGACUGAAGGAGAAAAGCACCUCGGCCUCGGCGUCUCGGAGAAGGUAGUUCUGCUCAUCUGGAAAAGAGAACAGCCCACCGUGCGAACGGUGCACGGCGCCCGGGACGCACAGUGCCACCCGCACCAGGCCGCCCCCAGGCAGGGCUCUAGUUCCCAGACCAGGGAUUGCACCUGGGCCCCCUGCAUUGGGAGCACGGAGUCUUAACCACUGGACCACCAGGGAAGUCCCUGAAGUGAUAUAUUUGAAAUGUGAGACCAGCGCAGGUCUGCACACCGCCACCCCCCACCGACCCGCGGCCGAGGGGGCGCCGUCCCUCCCACCCCGCCGGGUCAGGGGUCGGGACGCAGGCUCCCGGGGCCACACCGAGGACGCCCGGAGCGGGUCCCAGUCCCCCACCCCCGUUCCACCACAGCAGCUCAUGUUUUUACACACCGGGGGUUCUGGCGCGCUUCUGGUUAAAGGAGAAGAUUCAACUGUUUUUUUAAUAAGAAAGGAAAAAACACUGGCUAUUCCCUGUUUCUCUCCAGCAACGAAAUGAGACGUGCCGCAAUAAAGCUGUGAUGUAAUCAGCAAA